rnacentral:rRNA from 1 species
AGCAGCCGCGGUAAUUCCAGCUCCAAUAGCGUAUAUUAAAGUUGUUGCAGUUAAAAAGCUCGUAGUUGAAUUUCGGGGUUAGUAGGUUGGUCAUGCCUCUGGUAUGUACUGGUCUCACUGAUUCCUCCUUCCUGAUGAACCUUAAUGCCAUUUAUUUGGUGUUUUGGGGAAUUUGGACUGUUACUUUGAAAAAGUUAGAGUGUUUAAAGCAAGCUAACGCUUGAAUACAUUAGCAUGGAAUAAUGAAAUAGGACGUUCGAUCCUAUUUUGUUGGUUUCUAGGAUUGACGUAAUGAUUAAUAGGGAUAGUUGGGGGCAUUAGUAUUCAAUUGUCAGAGGUGAAAUUCUUGGAUUUAUUGAAGACUAACUACUGCGAAAGCAUUUGCCAAGGAUGUUUUCAUUAAUCAAGAACGAAAGUUAGGGGAUCGAAGACGAUCAGAUACCGUCGUAG